rnacentral:rRNA from 1 species
UACGUAGGGUGCAAGCGUUGUCCGGAAUUAUUGGGCGUAAAGAGCUCGUAGGCGGUUUGUCGCGUCGAAUGUGAAAACCCGGGGCUCAACCCCGGGCCUGCAUUCGAUACGGUCAGACUAGAGUUCGGUAGGGGAGUCUGGAAUUCCUGGUGUAGCGGUGAAAUGUGCAGAUAUCAGGAGGAACACCGGUGGCGAAGGCGGUUCUCUGGGCAUUACCUGACGCUGAGGAGCGAAAGUGUGGGGAGCGAACAGG